GGAGCGAGGAUGGAGAGAGCAAUAAGAUCGCGGAAGACACAGAAGACGAGCUGAUUGAUUCCAACGUUAAGAGCUACUUUCGCACUCACAUGGUAAGCUCCGUAAAUUAGCUGACACAAGGUCAUUGCAGCGUGCGCCCUUCUAGCAUCCCUCCUCGUCGCAUCGUUCAGGAUCAUCGGAGCUGACAUCUUGCUUCUCUUACUCUGAUCGAAGAAGAAAACCUUGCUCUGCUUCCAAUCCCAUCUCUGUAAAUCAAAGGUUCCGAAACGCUUACAUCACUGGAAGAAGCAAUCACAUUUCCUGAAACUGUUGUGUGCUGUUCUCUAUAAGAUGCCCAAGUAACCAUAUAUAGCCCUGAAAUGAUGAGUACUCCACCCACAACACUGCACAUGAGAAAGAAAGACAAUAAAUAUUAAGAGGCUGGGUGCCUGUGUUUAUUGAUGGAUCAAAGAUGCAAGCAAGAAACCUUCCAAGAUAGAUUGGACUGCCGAGGAAAAUUGAAGAUAAAAAGGCAGAUGUUGCAGGCUGAAGAGGGUUAUAAAGAGAAACCAAAGAUGCUCCAAGAAUUUUGUUAGACCAAGUCAAGAGUCCAUAGUUCAGAGCUGAUGCAAACACUCCCUAAGAAUCAAUAACCAAAAAAAUACUCAGAAAUGAAGAAAGCUUUAGUCUUUUUAUGUAAAACAUACCCAAAAAAACAAACAUGUUGUUGCAAACUUUUUACCGCAAAUAUAACGGCAAGAAUCUCGGAUUGUGUCAA